UCAUUAUGAUGCGAACACGAACAAUUAAAGACACAGAAAUGAGAAAGGAACCACUGAACAAGUGCGACCUAAAUGUCGACGUACAAUUUUUUACAGAAACAAAUAAAAUAUUUUUUUUAUUACACUUUCUGACUGCACAUAAGCAUACUCUCUGCAAUCCGAGAUGAAACCUUCGCACAAGGAGGUGAUUGUUAGUGAUAUACCCUAAAGCCAAUCGGUGACACAGGCUUGUGAAUAUAUUAAGUAUUUUUCUUAAUUAAUAAAGGGCAAGUUUUAUUCAUAUUUAUUGUUAGCAGUACAAUACAUAUAUAUGAAUCGUCCAUUGAAUCUUUGUUAAGAAAAUAUAUUCCUAAGAGUUAGGAAUUUGAGAUAUAUAUUUCUUUGUACAAGAUUCUUAAAUGCUCCUAGCCAUAGGAAUAUCAUAAGGACGAUGAUAUUUCCGGAUAGGCCGGUGUAUGCUAUACUUCUAAGUUGAGGUGACGAAUCUCAAGUCAUUAGUGUAAGGACACUAAAGUAAGCAUGCAGGUGCUUGUUAGAGAACAAGUACACUGAGCGUGACCAUUUAGUUGAACAGUCACAUGGUUCCGAAUUCGCCAGUGACUAGUUCUUUGCUACAGUUGUGUGAAGUACUCCUUAGACCUGAGGCAUCAUGGUUGCUUCACAUGUAGAUUGCUACUGUUUAACUGUACUAAUACUUAGACUCUAAUGAUUGGUCUAUGUCUGGUACUGAUUGGCUGUAGUAGUUUAUAUGGGGAGGCAUGUGAAUGCGCAAUAAGGAAUUCAACACUCUCAAUAGUGAGAGAGAACGUCCUAUGUAGACUGUCGAACUUGACUCGGAAAAUCCUUGGCCAGGGUACGUGGUGUGUGGAAAGAGUUUCCACCUGUGUUACCAUAUUGAGUCAGUUUUAGAUAUUCUAGUCAUAUGAUCGAAUAAUAAGAUUUGGCGAGUAACCAUAAUUUUUAGUUCGAUCGGGGCGUUGUAUGUUGGAAGGAAUUAAUCACAUAGUAACUGUUAAUGAAAAGGUUCGUUUUUCAUCAUCAUUCUGGAUUACCGUGAUAUACUGCUAGGUGUCACUCACGGACAGUGAGAAGCUGAAAUAAUUUAAAAUAAAUUAUUUCAUAGAUUAGAAGAGUUCUAAUUCAAUAUUAAAGAGUUUAAUAUUGAAUUCCACUGCCGAAUGAUAAUGAACCUAUGCGGUCACACACAAUAGGAAUUGUGUGCAUCCAAUUUGAUAAGAUGAGUCUAAUUGAUACACUAAAUAGUUUAGUGAAAAUUGUGAGAAUUAUAAUUUGAUUUAAUCUCUAAUUAGAUUAGAGAAUAAUUAAUUAUUCAUAGAUUAUUAUGAGAUAAUAUUCUAAAUAGAUUAUAAUAUGAAUAUUUAAUGGAUAAGAUCCAAUUAAAUUAAAGAGAGAGAGACAAAGAUAAUAUAUCCAUAAAGAUAAGUAUAAAUUUGUUUUACUUAUCUAUGGGAACUAAUUGGAUAUGAUCCAAAUUAGUUAUACCAGAAUGCAUGCAACAAUUUAUGCAACUAAUUGGAUGUGAUCAAAAUUAGUUGCAACAGAAUUUUGAGGAUGCCGAUGGUACGGCUAGGCGUGGCUUAAUCAAUUAUUAAUGCACGGCUACGUGAAUAUAAUAUAUCAUCCUUUUACGAGAGGAAUUUAAUAAUAGCCUCUUGAGAAAUAUUAGAUAAUCCAUCUCUCUCUAAUUUUUCCAAAAAAAGCAGUACAUCUCACAAAAGGCGAACGUGGAUAUCACGAGACUGCUAGCACCGUCUUUGUAAUCCGCGACUCAUCUAUUCCGUGCGACGGAAAGCAUUGGAUCUGGAUCAAUUCCGUGUGGAUACGCGUAGAGGCCGGGCACGUGUGCGGCUGAUCGGAAUUUCAGUUUCAACCGUACAGUAGAUCAAGAGACCUUAACUGGUCCGAGGUAAUGUAACCUGAACUUUAAAUCUGUUUAGGUUAGUUUUUAUUUUACAUUGCAACAUGAGAAUGAUCCACCGGCACUGGAUUGAUUUGUUUUAUUUUGGUUCAUAUGUGAUAUGGAUUUUUAUUUUUCGAAAAUACAUUUUUAAUUUCCGCUGCGAUUUUUGUGCCGGAUAAAUUCUUACAUUGAUAUUCUUUCCCAUUUAAGAAGUCACCUCCCAAACAGAAACGCUUACAUGGAGACUAGGCUCAACUACAUAUUCAGCCCAUAAGUUUUGGCAAUGUAUGGGCUUGGCCAUUUGGACCUCCUACUAUUAUCUGAUAAUCAUCUCAAAGUUCAACAUUAUGUACUAUGGACUACAUUGUCGCUUCACCUUGAAUUGGGAAUAAAAUGUAAUGUUUUGGACACCUCAUAUAACACCUAGAAUUGGGUCUGAAAACGAAUAAAAAUUUUGCGACAUAUCAUCAACACAUACUGACUGUAGUUGAGAGGGCCGUUUCUGCUUCUUUCUUUCUUUCUACUUUUCUUUCUAUUAUUAUGUCUGUGGGCGUUACACUUAACAAAACCCUUGCGCAAAAAUCAUAUUUCUUCUUAGAUCCGAACUGAGAUAGCGGAGCGAGCUUCUGCGGUCAACUUUUGGAACCUAAACUGCUUUACAUCCAUAUUCUUUUGCAUUUGGAUACUGAUCUUCAUAGCUAGAGCUUCGAAAAAAAAAAAGAAAUAAAGAAAAAUUUUUGCUCGGUACAAAUUCUCCUCGGUACAAAUUUUUAGAUUUGUUAUGUCAAGAUAUAUACAUUCCUAGCUACUUAACUCAUUCACCGAAAGGUGAAGCAUUCUUAUGCAUUGUGUCAUGACAAUGCAAAUACGAUCCAAAAUUAUCAUGACAAAUACGAUCCAAGAAGACUAGUAAAAUAAGCAACCCAAUAUGAUUUUCAUUUCUGGAUACAUUAGCUAUUUAUUUUGUAAGUUUUCAUUGCCCUCUAAUUCAUUAAUCUUAUGCUCGUGCCGAGGCAAAAAUCGAAUUUGGUAUUCCAUGGCCUGAAAUUUGAAGCUUGAAUUUGGUAUUUUCUAUAAUUACUAGAAACAGAAUCUGUUGAAAAGAUUUUAAUACAAAGUUUUUCUCCCGAAGUAUCUAUUUAAAUACUAGAGCCUGUAAGAGAACUUAACAUACAUGCAUGCUUGUUUUUCCUUUUAUUUUAUUUUAUUAUUUUAUUUUUUUAGCUGUAGUCAUUCCCAAUUAUAAAGCAUUUCUGGAGCUUGUGCUGUAAUGUAAAGCAGCAAAAAGAAUUUGCUGAAAAAUUUUAAUAUAAAGCUUUCCUAAUAGAUUGAGUGAGUUUCUACUUUUGAUACAUUUUAAUAUCGAAGGGGGAAUAAAAUACAAAAAAAUUAUUUGCAUUUUAGCAUGCAUUAUAAUUCCAAUUCUCAACUGAGUACGUUUGUCAACGAGCUGUGAACACGAGGUGACUCGUUAAAAUAUUGAGCUAAAAAAAUUCAAUUCACAAUCGGCUCGUUUAAUAACGAGCCGAACACGAGUUGGCGAACACGAGUUGGCUCAUGAGCAGCAAACUAGAUUGUCAGCUCUAUUAUUGGGUAAAACAUUAAAAGAAAAUUAGAAUCAUAUUCUAAUAUUUAAAAUUUAUAAAAUAUAGAUCUCUUUAUAUUUGGAUUGGCUUAAAAUUCAAAUAGUAGAAACUGUUAAUAUAUAUAUAUGUAUAGAGAGAGAGAGAGAGAGAGAGAGAGAGAGAGAGGCUAUUGUGCUAUUAGAAGCACUACAGUCUUUAUGCUCCUAAAUUCCUAACCAUCCACCAAUUUUGAUGAAUGGUUAAGGUGAGAGAGAAAAGAAAUUGGAAAGAAAUUGGGUUUCUCAAGUUCUCUUCUUUUUAAAUUUCUUUCGAAUUUCUCUUCUCUCUCUCUCUCAUCGUAACCACUCAUCAAAAUUGAUAAAUUGUUAGAAACUUAGGAGCACAUAGGAUACUGUGCUCCUAAUAGCACAGUUAUCCUGUUCUCUAUCUCUCUCUAUAUACUCUCUCUCUAUACAUAUAGAGAGAUAGACAGAGAGUUCAACUACAGUGCUUCCGAAAGUACUCUUCAUGUGGUGCCUUCAAUUUUUUAACUUUUGCAUCAACUCUUUUGACUAUUUCUAAUCCUUUGAUUAAUAAUAUUCACCCAAGGGAGACCACUAAACCCUAAUGGGGGCCACUAUCAUCCCAACCAUAUAUAUAUAUAUAUAGAGAGAGAGAGAGAGAUAGAGAGAGAGAGAGAGAGAGAGAGAAAACAAUUUUUGUACUUUCAAAAACACCGAGGCCUCCGUACUUAUAAUUUAUUUUUGAUGAUAGAACAUCUGAUUCGACGACCAAUUCCCUUAGACAUUAUUUACGCUAUUAGAACUAUUUAGAAUCCAAGACAUCAUUUACCAAAUGAUCAAAUGCUCUAAAAAAUGACUAUUUUAAUGGCCGAUAUAAUACGUUUAUAAGUUUAAUGGUGUAGAACAAACUACCUUAGAUAAAAUUUUAAUAGAAAAUUCUACCUAUCAUCAAAAGCAAGAUUGAUAUUUUCAAUUUGCAAUUUAAGUCUUUUAUCACUUUUUUAUAGAAUUUUUAUUUUCAAUCGCUCAUUUUAAGUCUAUUCGCUCACUAGAUAAAUAAAGUCAAAAAAUUAUGAAAUUUUGUUUCUAGAUAGUAGUAACAUAAUUGAUUAUGUGUAAUGAAACCGAUCGCCAAAUCAGAUGUUCCAUCAUUAAAAAUUAUAAGCACGUAGGCCUUUGUACUUUCAAAAGUGUAGAAGCCUAACACUCUCUCACUUUCUCUGUGUGUGUGUGUGUGUGUGUGUGUGUGUGUGUAUAUAUAUAUAUAUAUAUAUAUAUAUAUAUAUAUAUAUAGACUGGUAUACUAUCGGCAGCACGGAGGCCUCUGUGCUACCAAGUUGUUUUCAAUGAUGUGGCUUCCAAAUCGACGAUCGGCUCUGUUAAGCUUGAUGGACCAAGUUGUUCUCUCUCUCUCUCUCUCUCUCUCUCUCUCUCUCUCUCUCAUCUCUCCUCUCUCUCGUCCUCUCUCUCUAUAUAUAUAUAUAUAAGGGCUGCCGUGCUCUCAGGAGCACGGAGGCCUCCGUACUCCUGAGCCGUUUUCGAUGAUAGAAUUUUCGAAUUGACGAUCGACUCCGUUAGACUUGAUCUAGGGUAUAUGAAGUUUCUAAAAAAUAAUUUUUGCAAUUUUUUGAUAUUAUUUACCUAGUGAUAGAAAGGAUUCAAAAUCAAUAAUUUUUAAUGGUUGAUAUCUGCCGUUUUCAAGUUUAACGGUGUAGAAGUAUUAAAAUCAGAUGAAAUUUUGAUACAAAAUUCUUUAUACUAUCUACAACAAGAUCAAUAUUUCUGAUCGAAAAUUUGAAUGCUAUAUCACCACUUUUAUAGGAUUUUUAUUUUCAGCCGUUAAAAAUUAUUGAUUUUGAAUCCUUUCGAUUGCUAGGUAAAUGAUAUCAAAAAAUCGCAAAAAAUAUUUUCUAGAAACUUCAAAUACGUUAGAUCAAGUCUGACGGAGCCGAUCGUCGAUUCGAAAAUUUCAUCAUCGAAAACGGCUUAGGAGCACGGAGGUCUCCGUGCUCCUGAGAGCACAGCAGCCCUACUCUAUAUAUAUAUAUCAAAUUUGUUUUUCAAUACUAGGUUUCGUCAUUUUUCUCACCCUCUUUUCUUUAUCUAUGGUAAUGGCGAGACCUAUGGUAGCAACAACGUCGAAGGCAAGGCUUUCGGUCGUGGCAAAAAUGAGGUACGCCACACCUGCCGCGGCACAGAGAGAGAGAGAGAGAGAGAGAGAGAUUUUUUCAAGGACAAAUUUAUAACAAAAUAGUCAUUUUAAGCAACUAGCAUUAAAAAACUAACGGUGAAUCAAAUGACAUCAGAACUUUUAGAGGGAUAUAUUUAUGAAAAAUUUAAUUUAUAACAAAAUAGUCAUUUUAAGCAACUAGCAUUAAAAAACUAACGGUGAAUCAAAUGACAUCAGAACUUUUAGAGGGAUAUAUUUAUGAAAAAUUUAAUUUAUAACAAAAUAGUCAUUUUAAGCAACUAGCAUUAAAAAACUAACGGUGAAUCAAAUGACAUCAGAACUUUUAGAGGGAUAUAUUUAUGAAAAAUUUUUGAAGGGGUAAAAUUGAUCAAUUAUUUGAUACCUUAAUAGCAAUCUGUACCAAAUUAGCUCUUUGCUUUUUAUCUGGUCGUUUUGGAAACACGUAGACAGCAAGUUAGGAGAUAUGGGUUGACUUGUUCAAAUCCUCCAGAAAAUGUUCUCUUAAGUCCCUAUCUUAUCUCUUUAUCUCAAUUGUGAGUUUGUGACAGUGCCAUUGCUUAUGCACGCGUGUGCAUGAGAGAGAGAGAGAGAGAGAGAGAGAGAGAGAGAGACAUUUGGUGCAAGUAAUCAACUUGAUAUUUGGAUUGAAUGGUUCGUGAAAGGCCACUGCUUAGUUACAUAUAUAUAUAUCUAUAUAUAUAUAUAUAGAGAGAGAGAGAGAGAGAGUNAACAGAAUCUGUUGAAAAGAUUUUAAUGCAAAGUUUUUCUCCCGAAGUAUCUAUUUAAAUACUAGAGCCUGUAAGAGAACUUAACAUACAUGCAUGCUUGUUUUUCCUUUUAUUUUAUUUUAUUAUUUUAUUUUUUUAGCUGUAGUCAUUCCCAAUUAUAAAGCAUUUCUGGAGCUUGUGCUGUAAUGUAAAGCAGCAAAAAGAAUUUGCUGAAAAAUUUUAAUAUAAAGCUUUCCUAAUAGAUUGAGUGAGUUUCUACUUUUGAUACAUUUUAAUAUCGAAGGGGGAAUAAAAUACAAAAAAAUUAUUUGCAUUUUAGCAUGCAUUAUAAUUCCAAUUCUCAACUGAGUACGUUUGUCAACGAGCUGUGAACACGAGGUGACUCGUUAAAAUAUUGAGCUAAAAAAAUUCAAUUCACAAUCGGCUCGUUUAAUAACGAGCCGAACACGAGUUGGCGAACACGAGUUGGCUCAUGAGCAGCAAACUAGAUUGUCAGCUCUAUUAUUGGGUAAAACAUUAAAAGAAAAUUAGAAUCAUAUUCUAAUAUUUAAAAUUUAUAAAAUAUAGAUCUCUUUAUAUUUGGAUUGGCUUAAAAUUCAAAUAGUAGAAACUGUUAAUAUAUAUAUAUGUAUAGAGAGAGAGAGAGAGAGAGAGAGAGGCUAUUGUGCUAUUAGAAGCACUACAGUCUUUAUGCUCCUAAAUUCCUAACCAUCCACCAAUUUUGAUGAAUGGUUAAGGUGAGAGAGAAAAGAAAUUGGAAAGAAAUUGGGUUUCUCAAGUUCUCUUCUUUUUAAAUUUCUUUCGAAUUUCUCUUCUCUCUCUCUCUCAUCGUAACCACUCAUCAAAAUUGAUAAAUUGUUAGAAACUUAGGAGCACAUAGGAUACUGUGCUCCUAAUAGCACAGUUAUCCUGUUCUCUAUCUCUCUCUAUAUACUCUCUCUCUAUACAUAUAGAGAGAUAGACAGAGAGUUCAACUACAGUGCUUCCGAAAGUACUCUUCAUGUGGUGCCUUCAAUUUUUUAACUUUUGCAUCAACUCUUUUGACUAUUUCUAAUCCUUUGAUUAAUAAUAUUCACCCAAGGGAGACCACUAAACCCUAAUGGGGGCCACUAUCAUCCCAACCAUAUAUAUAUAUAUAUAUUGAAUUCGGCUACUAUACUUUUAUAAGUAUAGACCGCUUUGUACUCAUAAGUUUUCGGCUACUAUACUUUUUAACUCAUAAUUAUCUAAAUUUUGGUGACAGAAAUAGGAGGGUGGAAACGAGUAAGCUCGCUCAAUCUUUGCUUGAAAUUAAUUUCGAAUCUAAAUUUAGGCUCAAGCUCAACUUAAAAUUAAUUCGAGCCGAGCUCCAGCGAGCCUAAACUUCGAAUCGAGCGAGCUCAAGUACUAAACAAGCUGCUGAAAUUCUUAACAUCGUGCAAUUUAUAGUUCAAUGUUUAUAAAAUAUUAUCUAAAAUUUAAUACAAAAAAUAUUUAAUAGUUCAACAUACAAAAGAAAUACGGUAUUAUAAUAAAAAAAAUUAGAGGAACCGACUUUUCGAGCAAAUGAAAGAGCAAAAGAGUAAUUAAAGUAGGAUUUUACUGGUUUGAUUUUGUGGGUCAGCAAAUAGUCUAAUUCAAACGAGCCCAGUAUGACUCACAUUCGACUUGAGAUAAAUUUUGAGUUUUUAUUCUGUUCAAGCUCGGGCUCAUUUAAUUUUAAAUCGAGCUCGAGCGAUCCGAAUACUGAGUUGAACGCGAGCCGAACACGAACCAACUCACUCAUUUGCCAGCCCUAAGCAGAAAGAUAUAUAUAUUAACAGACUUGAGGACUUUUGGAGGGAUAAAUUUGAUAAUUGAAGUUUUAUAAGAAUAUAUAUUUACUAUGUGAUAGUCUUGAAGGAAACCAUAUGCAAUUAUUCCAAAAAGAUGAAAAAAAAAUCAUAUUAUUCAAAAUUAAAUAAAUAAAAUGGCAUGAGAAGCGUGAGUAAGCUCAAGAGAAAAAUACCUCAAAGUUUCACGCACUCAAUCCGCUUUGUCACAGAUUCGAAAUCUGACCGGACAACUGCUCCAAUCCAACUCUUGAGUCCAAGAAUUGUAAUCUUCUCUUCCAAAGUUUUAAAUUUUAGCGUUAAAAAUAAAAAUAAAAAUUUAGCAUUUCUCUUUCUUAUAAGAAAAAUUAACAGUUUUAUCCUUCCAAAUAUUGAUAAUUGCAAGUAUAUAUAUAUAUAUAUAUAUAUAUAUAUAUAGUUGAGCCGGAAUGCUAUCGAUAGCAAACAGACUUCGUUGCCACCCAUUUGUUUUCAAUGAUGGAGCCUUCAAAUCGACGAUCGGCACCGUUGAACAUGAUCUGUACUACUUGAAGUAUCUAGAAAUUAAAUUUCAUACUUUUUCGAUAUUAUUCUCUUGUUCAUCAAGUGCGUGUAAAAAUGAACGGCCGAAAAUGAAUAUUCUCUAAAAAAGUGAUGAUAGGGAUUUUGUAAUCAAGAUCGAGAGUAUAGAUCUUGUUCUAAAUAGUUUAAAGAAUUUUCUAACAAAAAUUCAAUUGAUUUGGAUAGCUUUACACCGUUAAACAAGAAAACGCCUCAUAUCGACCAUUAAAAUUACAAAUUUUGAAACCCUUUGAUCAUUAGGUCAAUGAUGUCGAAAAGAUUUGAAAUUUGAUUUCUAGAUAGUUCAAGUGAUACAGAUCAUGUUCAACGGUGCCGAUUGUCGAUUUGAGGGCUCCAUCAUCGAAAACAAAUGGGUGGCAACAAAGCCCAUUUGCUACCGAUAGCAUUCCAACUCAACUCUAUAUAUAUAUAUAGAAAGAGUAGAGCUAUUAUACAAUCGGAAGGUAGUUAAAGCGUAGAGCUAUUUAGCAUAAGGUAGUUAUAUAUAUAGAAAGAGUAGAGGUAUUUAGCAUAAGAUAGUUAGUACUUCCGAUUUUUUAGCUCUUGGAUCAACUCUCUUUACCAUUUUAACAAUUGAAUUAAUAUUAUUACCCAAUGGGGACCACUCAACCCUAGGGAAACCACUCAACUCUAAAGGGAACACUAUCAUCCUAACCAUACAAUCUUUAAUCUAAGGGUUAAAAAAUCGAAAGCACAAACUCUCUUAUGCUUCCGAUAGCAUAGUAGCUCUACACUAUAUAUAUAUAUAUAUAUAUAACUAGGCUGGUAUACUAUCAAUAGCACAAAGCUAUUGGUGCUAUUAAUUUUUUAGCCCUUGGAUUGAUAAAUGGGUGGUUAGGAUGAUGUGGGCCCCCUAGGGUUGAGUGAGUGGUUGGUUGAAUAGUAUAAUCUAACAGGUAAAAAUAAUCAAAGGGUUAAAUCUAACGGUGGAAAACUCGAUAGCACCAAAUCCUUGGUGCUAUCGAUAGUACCCCAGCCGGACUAUAUAUAUAUAUAUAUAUAUAUAUAUAUAUAUAUAAAGAGAGAGCGAGAGAGAGAGAGAGAGUGUACAGUUACUAUAUUCUUAUGAGUAUAGAGCCCUUCGUACACAUAAAUUAUUUUUAAUAGUAGAGUUUUCGAAUCGACGAUCCACUUCGUUAAAUAUAAUUUAGAGUAUUUGAAACUUCUAAAAAAUAAAUUUCAUAAUUUUUCGAAAUUAUAAUAAAGCCCAUCAAAUUGGUACAAAAUGAAUAGUCAAAAUCGAACGACAUUCUAAAAAUGGAAGAUCGGAUUCUUCAAUUUAAGAUCGGAGUUAUUGAUCUUUAUCUAGAUAGUGGAUAGAAUUUUCUAUCAAAAUUUCAACCAAUUUCGAUUCUUUUACACUAGUCGUUAAACUAGCAAGUAUUUCAUACUGCCCGUUAAAAAUUGUCAAUUUUGAGAUCUUUUGAUCGUUAAAUAAAUGAUAUAAAAAAAUCAUGAAAUUUGAUUUCUAAAAGUUUUAAAUGCUCUAAAUAACAUUUAACAAUAUAGAUCGUCGAUUCAGAAACUCUAUCAUCGAAUAUGAUUUAUGAGUAUAAAUGCGAUUGUACUCAUAAGAGUUGUCACGCCCCGGAUUAACACGUUUUUCCGGGCACGCCAACAGACCCGCCUUAUAUAUCGAAAUUUUUCGUGUAUACGAAGUAAUAGCUGCAUCUGUAAUCACAACAGCACCACAACCAGUAGUAUAGAGCUGCUAAAUUGAAAAUAAACAUAUAAAUGAAAACCUCGAGUGGUUCUUGUACAUACAAAAGGUCUACAACACAACUCGCUCUAGCGAGUGCCCUGACAAUAUCACAAUAUGUACAAAGAAAAUCCAAAACUACCAGUGAAAGGUACUUAAUUCUCUAGUACGGUAACGAGACGGGUAGGGAUCUAGCUCGCAACUUCCUUCCCACGGUCUGAAUCAGCGACAGCAGCAGCCACAGAAGAAGGCUCUGCAAAAAAGGGGUCAACAACUAGGUGUGAGAACUAUUGCGAAAAGUAGUCCUCAGUAGGUACCGUCACCUACCUCAACUGCUCACUUACUAAAGUUUAUAGAAAAGUGUGCAAGAGAUAGUAAGGAAAGCUGGAAAAACUCUAUAGAUAUAUGUCACUAUACUAUCGGUAACCAACAUUAACUAUCUGUAAAUAAAAAAAAUACGAUCUUUGAUCUAGUCUCACUAGAGAAUAUGAAAACGCCCGUCCAGCCUGUCGAAGCUACACCGAACACCACCCCCGAGGGCUGCCGGUGGAGAGCAAGUCCAAACCAGACAACAACGACAUCAACGCAAAGCAAAAAGCCAAACUUCGGAGCGGCACUCGUGGGCGCGACCCAACCGAGUAUGCAAGCGUGUCUCUACCGAGCUCAAUCAGGCUCUCACAGGCUGUAAUCAAUGCAAAUGGGUCUAACUGGUCUAACCACCAAAGCUCACGUGCCCGUGGCACAAUCUGAUGCAAAAUACAGAAACCUGGGUCCACUGUCAACCGCGACGGCACCCGACAGUCCGAAACAGUAUACACACUACUGUAAAAUAAGCUCGGCGUCCCAGCACGAGCGUAAACUCACCAUACACUAAUCUGGGUAUCCACCGCGUACUAACAGCGGCGAUACAAAAGAACCAUAACUCCUAAAACUAAAUCUUGUAACUUUUCAGAAAAUGACAGUGUAAGAUUAAAUAGUUUUCUCCUAAGUCAAUUUUAAGUCCAACAUGAAUAUAAAUACUAGCUUAACUCCAAAUUCAGAUUUUAUAGUCUAAUCUAUGAAUUCGAGUACUAGCAAGGAAAAUAAACCAAUGAAACCUGUCGACGAUGCUAGAACUUAGGAGGAAUUCCAACGAUUUCGGUAAACAUUAAUCCAUCUCGACAUGCUAGUCCAACUACGAUAGGAAGUCGAAAGGAGAUGAACCACGUGCUCGCCCGGCCUCCCAAUGAUGCAACUACGAUGCCCGCGAGCUCGAAUGGCUCCCCGUCGCAACGUCGAAGUCUACCCGAGCUCGAGCCACGACCCCACCACAAGCAACAUCUCCAAACUAGAGAGAAAAAGGAAGCAGCAACCAAAAGCUCAUUCUCUGUCUCUCUACGCAUAUAUAAAGAGGUAGGAUAAGGUUGAGAUUAACGUCACUUCAAAUGAUGAAAAGGCCCCUCACCAACUUACAAAUACAGCUUGAGUACCGGUACCCAAUUUGGUUACUGGUAUUCGGCCUCUCAGCCCGCAAGCUCGCUCAUAGGGUACCGAUACUAGCCCGAUGCCGUACCGGUACUCAGCAUUAGAUUGGCGCAACCCGAGAGCAUCAGUUAUGCAAUUCCACUGGGGUGCCGGUACUUCUCUACUUGGUACCAGUACUCAACAUUGAAAACUUGCACUUUGCAGAUUCCAAUGUCAAAACUUUACUCUCGCGUCGCAUUGAGUCCGUUUUGCAUCCAUUUCGCGCCAAAACGACUCCGACUUGUCCCGACACUCUCCAGAUGUGUCAACAAGUCUCAGAUGCUGAAACCUACGAGCUGCAGAACACUAGGGACACUACAAAAGUAGUAGCCGGAUUAUAUAUAUAUAUAUAUAUAUAUAUAUAUAUAUAUAUAUAUAUAAUAACUAGAUGUUUUCUUGCCUAAGAUUUGAUGACAAAAAGGCAAAAUUUGGGUUUUAACAACCUAAAAUAAAUAAUCAGGUAAUUAUGAGUAUUCAAACCAGUAUAAUCAAUCACAUUUUCAUGCACUAACUACUUUGGCUUUGAGCAAAAAAAUGAAAAAAAUGUCAUGUGCUCUUUUGUGAUAGUACUUUUCAAAAUUACUUAGAACUUUGAUCUUUGAUCAAUCAUAACAUGCAAUUAUAUCGUUCUCCUUUUGAAAAGAUUUGGGUUUAGCACCAAUUUUAGCAAAUUAGAAGCUUGAUACGAUUCUAUCGUAUCAGUAGGGAUAAUUAGAAGCUUGAUACGAUUCUAUCGUAUCAGUAGGGAUAAACGAUCAUUUCGAGAGGAUCUAACCUCCUAAAAAGAGAGAUAUUAGAGAGAUAGAGAUAGAUAAGAAGGGAAUGAGAGGGAAGAUAGAACAAGACGAUCAAUUUCUUCUUAUUAUUCCAAACCCUAGAAGAUACACAUUUAUAUAACCCUAAUUACACUUUUAUUGGAAAUGACUGAAAUAUUCUAAAAUAACAAUAUAUUAUUUCAUAAUUAGAAAAUCCUAAUAUAGAAAUGUAUCAUUCCACCGCCCUCGAAAGCNCAUUUCGCGCCAAAACGACUCCGACUUGUCCCGACACUCUCCAGAUGUGUCGACAAGCCUCAGAUGUUGAAACCUACGAGCUGCAGAACACUAGGGACACUACAAGAGUAGUAGCCAGAUUAUAUAUAUAUAUAUAUUAAAAUUAAAAUUAAAAGGCCAAUUUGAAUAAAAAAAAUCCACUAGUUUUGCGCAUUUGCAAAAGUGGGUCACCUUUUUCGAUUUUGCAGAUUCGGGCCGGAUUUUCAACAAACUGACCAAAAUACUCUUUACCUUUUUCUCUCUCCUCUUUUUUUCUCUCGUUUUUUUUUCUUUCUCUUCCCAAAGAGCGGCGGAGGCAGAAGCAGAGGCGGAGGCGGCCCGCUUCGGUUUUAUCCGGCGCAUCCUUUCCCUCGCACACGCACCCCACCAACUUCCUUGCCUCCGACCCUACCGAGGCCGCGCUGCGACUUUUUCUUUUUCCCUCUCCGACUCACCUCCACCGCCUCCAACGACGAUGCCUAUUUCACCAUCUCUCGCCCUUCUCACCCUUUUUUCUCCCUCCUCCUUCGCCUCCUCCGCCGCCUCCGACGACUUUUCUCUCAAAUAGUAUAAGUUUUGUUUAAAACAGUGCAACGUUUCUCUGAAAUAGUGUAACUUCAUCAUCUUCUUUUUUUUUAUCUGAUUUUUUAUUUUUCUUGUAAUUUUUUUUCACCCUCUCCGACCCUCAUCAUCUCCUCUGCCGCCUCGAGGCCCUCGGCAAUAGUAACGAGGGCGGCGCCACAUGCUCUUCCUCCAUCUACUCCUCCGCCGGCGCCGGAGGCCCUUGGCGACAGUAACGAGGGCGGUGCUGCCUCCUCCGCCAGCGUCGGAGAAAAAGAAGAACUCAAAACAGCCCGGGAUGAGGGACAGAGGCAAUGAGGUCGUUGUCGAGCAGGUACUCGUCACCCGUGAGGGUGAGGAAAAAAAAAAAAAGGGCCCAUCUCCAAGAAACGAACAAAGAUGCAAAUAGUAGAGAAAAAUUAAGAAUAAAAAGUAAAAAAAAAUAUUUUUUUUAAGAAAACAAUUAUAUAUUAUUUUUUGAUAGCAAUAAUGAUAUAUAAUGGUCCUUCUCAUCCGAAUCCGCUUUCAGUUCUCUUUCUCCUUCUUCGGCGUCGGCGGAGGAAGCGGCACCGCCAUCGUUACCGUCGUCGAGGGCCGCCGGCGCCGGCGGAAGAGAAGAUGGAGGAAGAGGUUGUGACACCACCUUCGUUACUGUUGCCGAGGGUCCUGAGGCGGUGGAGGAGACGAUGAGGGUCGGAGAGGGUGAAAAGAAGUUACAAGAAAAAUAAAAAGUCAGAUAGAAAAGAAGAUGAUGAUGAAAUUACACUAUUUUAGAAGAACGUUGCACUUUUUGGACGAAAAUUAUACUAUUUCUCUUCUUCAUCCUCCUCCUCCUUUCUUGUUUUCGUAUGGAUGAUGAGAAAUAGUGUAAUUUUCACCCAAAAAAUACAAAUUUCAUUCAAAUUAAGAAUGCAACUUUUAUUUAGAAAAAUAUUUUUGUUUAAAACAGUGCAAUGUCCCUCUAAAAUAAUGCAUCUUCAUCUUAUUCUUAUUUUCUUUCUGAUUCUUUAUUUUUAUUGUAGAAAAAAGUAUUUCUUAUAUUUUAUUCUUUAUUCUUUUCAUUUUAUUAUUUUCUAUAUUUGUUUUCUUGGUCCUCUUUCUUUGCCGUCGGUGUCGGUGCAUGCGCCGGCGAAGGCAGAGUAAGAGGACGCGGCGCUAUUUUUAUUACUGUCAUGGAAGAUCGCAGGGGUGGUUGAGGGGGAUCAAAUAGAAAAAAAAAAAAAGAAUGAGCGAAAAAAAUGAAAGGAAGAGAAUGCGGCAUUACGCUCUUUACUGUCGUAAAGAGCCAAGGAAUUAAGCGAUGGAGGAGGGUCGUAGAGGAAAAAAAAAAAAAAAAGAGGGUCGUGGCACGGCCUCGGCGGGAUUAGAGACAAGGAAGGCAGAGGGUACGCGGACGAGGGUGAGAGUGAUCCGGACAGAGGCGAGACAGGCGGUCUCCACCCCCGCCGCCCUCUUGGGAGAGAAAGGAAAAAAAAGAACGAGAGAAAAAAAAGACGGGAGAAAGGGAAUAAAGAUAUUUUGGUCUUUUUUGAAAAUCAGGCUCGAAUGCAAAAUCUAAAAAUACGGCCUACUUUUACAAAAGCUCAAAACUAGUAAAUUUUUUAUGCAAAUUGGCCCUAAUUAAUUAUUUGAUAUUCAUCAGAAAUAUUCAUAUAUAUAAAAGUCGUUGGAAAAUGCAUUAAAACCCCGUUAACUACAGACUAUUAUGAAAGAAGCCUCGCGAAUUUAAAGUCUUUGGUUAACACCUUGAUUUUUUAUAUUUUUGGAAUUGACUAAUUUUUUUCAAUUAAAUUAGAGAUUUUAUCCAACUCAUCAGCAAUUUCAUCAAAUUUGGUAAUUUUAAUUACUUUUUAGCAAAUAAAUUAAAAUAUUUAAUGAUCAAUAGCUGAAAAGGAAUUUGCAUUUAAUAUAAGUCUUAGUCCCUCUGUUAUCAUGAUCCCUACAAUUAGGGCCGGCAAAUGAGCGAGCCGGCUCGCGUUCGACUCGAGACUUGAUAUUUGGCUCACUCGAGCUCGACUCGAAAUUAAAUAAGCCGAACUUGAUCAAAAAAAAAAGGGCUCAAAAUUCAUUUCAAGCCGAGCUUGAGUAUUACUCGGCUUGUUCGAAUUAGGCUCGAAAACCGAGAAUAUAUAUAUAUAUAUAUAGAGAGAGAGAGAGAGAGAGAGCUACUAUGCUAUCGUAAGUAUAGAGAAUCUGGUGCUUCCGAUUUUUUGAUUCUUACAUCAAUCACUUUAAUCAUUUCUUACCUUUAGAUUAAUACUAUUAUUACCAUGUAGGGACCACUCAAUCCUAAGGGUAUUAUUUAAUCCUAGGGAGGACCGCAAUCAUCUCAAUCGUAUAAUUCUUAAUCAAAGGGUCAAAAAUUCGGAAGUAUCAAAUUCUCUAUAUUUUCGAUAGCAUAGUAGUUCUACACUAUAUAUAUAUAUAUAUAUAUAUAUAUAUAUAUAUAUAUAUAUAGAGAGAGAGAGAGAGAGAGAGCUACUAUGCUAUCGUAAGUAUAGAGAAUCUGGUGCUUCCGAUUUUUUGAUUCUUACAUCAAUCACUUUAAUCAUUUCUUACCUUUAGAUUAAUACUAUUAUUACCAUGUAGGGACCACUCAAUCCUAAGGGUAUUAUUUAAUCCUAGGGAGGACCGCAAUCAUCUCAAUCGUAUAAUUCUUAAUCAAAGGGUCAAAAAUUCGGAAGUAUCAAAUUCUCUAUAUUUUCGAUAGCAUAGUAGUUCUACACUAUAUAUAUAUAUAUAUAUAUAUAUAUAUAUAUAUAUAUAUAUAGAGAGAGAGAGAGAGAGAGAGNAAGGCGGAAAAGAAGACAUGUGAGGCUGAAAAGAUUAGAUAUUCAACUCAUAAAUUAUUUUUCUUCAUAUUAUAAUACCAUAUUUCAUAUAAUUAUUUUGUACUUUGAACUAUUAGACAUAUUUUUGUAUCAAAUUAUAGAUAAUGUUCUAUACAAAUUAAACUAUUGAUUGUAUGAUGUUGAGGAUUUCAAGGGGCUCGUUUAAGGCUCGAGCUUGCUCGACUCGAAAUUAGGCUUGCUCGAGCUCGGCUCGAAUUAAUUUCAAACCAAGCUUGAGCUUAAAUUUAGGCUCGAAAUUAAUUUCAAGCCGAAUUUGAGCCGAGGUAAACUCGCUUGAGCUCGGCUCGUUUCCACCCCUACCUACAAUUAAUGGAGUUUAAAUAUUUUAGUUUACACUGAGAACAAUUUAGGGUUAAUUGUAUGUGUGUCCAUACAAAGCAAUAAAAUUGCAUUUUUACCUCUACAAAAUUUUAUAUUAUCUCUAUAAAGUUGUAGUUAGCAAAUAUAUAUUCCACUAAAGUUUCAUAGUUUGCAAAUAUGUCCUUCUCCGUUAGUUAACCGGUUAGCAAAAUUACCAUUUUAUCUAUAAAUAAAUAAAUAAAUAAAUAAAUAUAUAUAUAUAUAUAUAUAUAUAUAUAUAUAUUAUAUUUAAUAGUAUUUAUAAUUUUUAAUAUUUUUAUUCUAACUUACAUUCCAUUCUAUGUGUACCUUAUAUUAUAAAUUUCAAUAACAAUUUUUUAAAAAAUCGCAGUCCGGUGAAAAUUUAACGUCAACUAAUAAUAGUCAACCUGUCGGAAUAAACUUUUAUAUUUUGGAGAUUUCGAGAAAUAUAUUUAAUAAUUAAACUUUUAUAAGGAUGCAAUAAAAUUUUGGAGGAACAAAAAUAUGCAAUUUCAUAGCUUUGUAGGGACACGUAUGCAAUUAUUCCAACAAUUUAAGUUUUAAUAUGCACGGAUAGUAACUUUAUUGCCCCUACGGCAACUUAUUUCCUAUACAUUUUCAAUUUAGGUACGUUAGGCUUAAAAAUUUUAAAUAUAUUACACUUUAACCCUUGAUCAUUAAUAAUAAAAUUUAAUCAUGUUUAAUAUUAUGUUUGACUAUGAUAGUAAUAAUAAUAUUUAAUUAUGUUUUGAAGUACACUUAAAAUAAGGGGAAUCACUUAAAAUAGAAGGACAAAGUGUUUAUUUUGUAAAAAAACUUUUAGCCAUUUUUGAGUAAAAAAUUUUGUAAGAAACUUUUAGCCAUUUUUAAGUAAAAAUUUUGUAAAAAUUCUCGUAAAUUUUUUUUAUUUUUCUCUCAUAAAGUAAGCUUAUUUUCAUAAUUGAAAUACUUUUUCCUUUUGUAGUUGUAUGUUUCUUUAUAAUUAGACCUUCUCGAGUAUUUACUAUCAAAUCUUUUACCAUUUACGUUAGAAACAAUCGGUGAUUAUAGAUAACUGUUUGCAGAAGAAAUGUAUCCUUUAGGUUGGAAAUUAAACAUCUUUGUUUGGCAGUUAACUGCCAUUUUCAAUGAAAGAAAACUGACAAUUAAGUUGAUAAAUAUCAACAUUUACUUUUCUAUGGGUUAUAUAUAUAUAUAGGGGGCCUACAUCAUUCUAACCGCACACCUUUUAAUCCAAGAAUGGAAAACUUAAUAGCACCAAGUCAUUGGUGCUAUUAAUAGUAUUCUAGCCUAGUUUUAUAUAUAUAUAUAGAGAGAGAGAGAGAGUUGGACUGGGCUACUAUUAGUAGCAAAAUCUCAUUGUUGCUACCAGUUUUUUAGCCUUUGGAUCAACUCUUUUCAUUAUUUCUAACCAUUGGAUUAAAUACUAUAACCCAGUGGGGACCACUCAACUCUAUGGGGACCACUCAACUCUAACCGACUAAUAUCAUCCUGACCUUAUAAUUUUUCAUCCAAAGAUUAAAAACUUGAUAACAAAAAGAACGUUUUACUAUUAAUAGUAUUCCAGCCUAAUUCUAUAUAUAUAUAUAUAUAGAUAUCCUUCUUUUGGGAUGAAUAAGUAAUAAAAUCAAGUUCAUGGGUUGUUUCCUCAUGUUUCUAGUGGGGCCAUAUAUAUGUACAUAUUAUACAUGGAUAAGCAAAAACCAAUAGGUAACCUACACUCAUGAACAUCAUGUGAAACAUCAAGGAAUUUAGAUGAGAAACUUCUUGAUCAAGUAGUGUUUGUCCAAAAGCAUAUAUAGCUCAUCACCAUCAAAGAGAAAAAAAAAAAAAAGGAGAAUAGUCCUUUACAAGGAGAAAGAGAAAAUUGACUCUAUAAAGAAGUGAGAUGCACAACAAAAAGAUGACAUAUAUACUAUUCUAAAGUUUGAGAGCAACUAACAUCGUCGACCCACACACAAUAGAUGCUUACUUGGAUGCUUAUACUUUAAGCUUCGGCUUAUUCUGAUGUCUAGCUAUUUGUUCCCCAAUAAUAUAAUGCGAGUUUGUCUCAGAACAUUUAUAUAUAGAGAGAGAGAGUCAGGUUAUUAUAUUCUUACGUAUUUGAAUUUUUUAUACUUAUAAGCUUUCGCUGUUAGAUCUAUCCAUUUAAUCAUUUUUAUUAGAUUAUACAAUUCAACGAACCACCCCCUCAACUCUAGAGGAUCACUAUCAUUCUGAUCGGAGACCACUAUCAUCCUAGCCGCACUCUUCAUCCAACGAUCGAAAAUUUAUGAAUACAAAGGUUUCUAUACUCAUAAAAAGUAAUAGUAGCGCUACUAUAUAUGAGUAGGCCCCUUCAUACUAAUAAGUUUUUUUUUUUAUAAUGGAACUUCUGAAUUGAUGAUCAAUACCGUUAAAUAUGAUCCAGAGUAUUUGAAAUUUAUAAAAAAUAAAUUUCAUAAUUUUUGAAAUUAUGUUAAAUUUUAUCAAGCGGGUAUAAAAUGAACGGUCGAAAUUGAACAACCUCUUAAAAAUAUAUGAUCGGAUUCUUUAAUUUAAGAUCGGAGCUAUUGAUCUUUAUUUAGAUAGUGAAUAAAAUUUUCUAUUAAAAAUUCAACCGAUUUGAUUCUUUUAUACGUUAAACUAGCAAGCAUCUCAUACCAGCCGCGCGUUAAAAAUUAUCAAUUUUAAGAUCUUUUAAUCUUAAGGUAAAUGAUGUCGAAAAGUUAUAAAAUUUGAUUCCUAAAAGUUUUAAAUGCUUUAAAUUAUAUUUAAAGGUAUGAAUUAUCGAUUCGGAAUCUUUAUUAUCGAAAACGACUUAUAAAUAUUGUCAUGCUCAUAAAAGUAUAGAAGCCGAACUUUAUAUAUAUGGCACUCAAAGAUACGUGUUGUUUACUAAUAGUGAGUAAGUCCUUAUAAUGAAAAGAAACAAAUACAAGUUCAACAUGUUGAAACUCAAUAUAGUAUUGGUGUUGAACAUGUCCAUCUAUGUACAUAUAAGUGUUGCGUGUUCUAUACUUCUAUUGCGAUACAUGAUGAAAGUUAAAGGCAAAGUAAGAUUAAUCGUGCAUGUCAUUUUCAUCAUGUUAAAGCUUCAGGAAAAUGUUUUAUAAUGAAAGAGGACGAAGAGGAGUGUUGGAGAAGUAAUUGUGGGGGUUUGAACUAAAUGGGUUUGGUCCACCACCUCCCUACUACAAUUUCCUAUUCCUUUAUGGAGAUUUGGCACGAAAUUAAGGGGAAAUUAGAUAUAAUAAUGCUAUUGCAAAGUGGAAGUAGAGAUUAAGAUUAAGCUACUUUUGUAUUAAGUAAGCUCAGCUAUUUAUGUUGUUGCGUGUAGAAUUUUCUUUCACCAAAAAAACAUGAUGUUAAAUAAUUAAAGUGACAUGCUUAAUUAUAUAUUUCGACUUUUCUAUUGCUAUGCAUUGAUUGUCUACAUGGUACUUGAUUAGUUGCUUACCCUUUAGAAUAGUUUUUCUUUUUCUUUUUUUUCUUUUUUUGAAAAAAAAUGAUAGCAUGCUUUUCCUUACAGAAUUUGUUAAUUAUUUUUUUUAGAAAUAAAAUAAGUUUGAAUUGUAAAGCAAUUAAUUAACUAAGUUUCAAACUUAAAAUCUCGUUUAUCAAUUAUAAAGUUCUUCGCCACCUGCGCUAGGGAUCGAUGGUCAGUACGUAAUAGCUUUUUUGUUAUAAAAAUUAAAACCGUGUGUACUCGACAAUAGAAACUCUUGUUAAAACUAUUUAACUAUUGUAGAAAUUACAGGGAGAAUUUUAAUUAGAAUAUAAUUUUACUAUUUUAAAUAUUUCUACUUAAACAAUCGUUUUAUAUAUAAAGAAAAAUUCAACUUUACAAAACAGGCUCUAAAUUAUUUGUUCAUCUCAAAUUAUUGAAUAAUUCAAUAUGCAUCCCCCUUUCUUUUUUUUUUUGUUCUCUUUUCCUUUCUGAAAAAAUUAGUAACUCAGUAAGGAUAAUAUAAUUCCUAAAGCAUACACAUAAGUAUUGAAUAUAAAAAUAUAAAAAUAUAAUUUUUGAUAAUAUAAACAGUUUUGGAUUUACUCGUUGCUAAAAAGAUAUGGUAUCAAAUAUAUAUAAAAAUAAAAGCCCGACAGAUUUAGGUUCCGACAUGAAUUUUAUGUGUACCUGAUUCGAACCUGAAUCCUAUUCAAACCCAAAUAAAUUUUAUAUUAUAUUAUAUGACAUAUAUAUAUAUAUAUAUAUAUAAUAUUAUAUCUAAAUUUAUAUUUUAAAAUUUAAUUUUUAUUAUAAUAUAUUUUAAAUUCGGUUUGGAUUUAGGUUUUAGAAUCGUGGUCAGAUUCAGGAUUUUUAAAAUCCGUAGAGUUCAGAUUUCAGAUUUGGUUCCCGGGUUCAAGUUCAAAAUUUUUUUAAAAAAAAUGCAUCUUGAAUCUGACGCGUUGACAUCCCUAUAUAUGUUAUUCAAGGGGGGCACUUUCCCUAUUUUGGGUUCUACUUUCCAAUCCAUGGAAGAUACACAAGGGAAAGUAAGUUAGUGCUUGAAAGAUGCCUCCACUUGUAGUAAAGUCCUAGGUAAGGUGGUGGAGAUGGUGGUUUCUUCUUUUUUUUCUUUUUUUUUUCUUUUUUUCAAUUGGAGAGUGAUUUUGAGUGCAUAUCUAAUUAAGCAUGAGACAUGCACUAUAAAGCAAAAUAAUAAUAAUAAUAAUAAUAAUAAAUAAAAGACCUAGGCCAAAAGGAAAUGUCCAAAGCUUGGUAAUCCAAUGGGUUCUACUAGGAAUAAUAAAUUAAGAAGAUAGAUAUGUGGGAAGGGAAUCCCAGGCAUAGUGAUGUGUUUCCAUGUCUUUGCUUUUGUCAAUAGUUGGGCAUCUUUCAUGGUGGGGGUGCUUGGCAUCUCUUUCUUGUGAUUUGUGAAUGUCAUCAAUAAUUAAAACAAUAUAAAAAAAAAAAAAGUACACCAAACUUGUAUGAUCAGCACUAGGGUACUAUCUUCACAUUUACAUUGUGCAAAUAAAUGCCAGGACUUGAAUGGACAGCUGAAAGAGAGAGAAAGAGAGAGAAAGAGAGAGAGUCUCAAUUAUAUUAUUAUUUAAAAAAACUUCAAUAAUUGUCACUUCUAUAAUUUUAUAUUUUUUUAGUUUAGUACCAUAUAGUUUAUAAUAUAUUAUUUUAGUAUUUUGUGAUUUCGUUCUUCUUCUUUUCGUUAUUUUCUAUAUUAAUUUUUUCGUUAAAUUAAUAAUAAAGUUAAAACUAUAGAGUACUCAACUGAAAAUUCGAUAAACAAUAGAAUAUAAAGUGAAUAUUUAAUAAAUUAUAUGGUACUUAUUUAAAUCUUUUUGUAUGUAAUUUACAAAGAGUUAACGAUGAUGCUGACAGAAAAAAAAAAAAAAAAAAAAAAAAAAAAAAAAACUACGAAAUACUAAAAUGAUACACUUUAAAUGCAGGAUGCUAAAUUGAGAAAACAUAAAAUCACAGUAUUUGAAAUUUAUUCUAUUAUUUAUUAAGCAAUAUCAUAGAAGGAUCAUGUGUGACCCGAAAAAAAGAAAAAAGUUAAUGGAAGUUGUGUUGCAAUAAAAUGUUGAAAAAAAUAAAAAGAAAAAUCCAAAUCUCGAAAUUAGAAACUUUUUUUUUAUGCUUAUGACUUUGCAAGAAAAGAACAAGUUAAGGAUAUAUAUAAUUGAGCUGACAUAUUUUUAAGAGUAUUAAUUUUUUAAUAUUUUUAUAUUAUAUUCUAUGAUAGAACAUCUAUAUUAAGGAUCGAUACUGUUAAACAAAAUAUACAUAUGUCUUAUGAACAUGAUGUUUUUAAUAUUUAUAUUCACUAUUGUUCUUAACGUCUGAGCUAGAAAUUUUUUGAUAGAUAAAAAAUAUGAACUUAAAUUAAAUUAAAAAAAAUUAAAUAAUGCCAAGAAUCGGACAAGACUCAAACUUAGACCGCCUACUUUAAUGUUUCUAAAAGUUUCUAAAGGUUUCUAAUGACACAAUAGCGAAAAAUUUUCCUAAAUCUAGAAAGACUUUAAAAGUUUCUAAAUAACGUGGUUGGACCAAGACCCCCCGCUUCCACCACAGAUUUUUUUUUUCUUUUUGCAAAUUAUUUUUCAAAAUUUCCUACGUUGCCAAACUAUCGGCAAAUCAGAAGCACAAAAUCAAACUCGAUAACAAUAUCCUUUUUUUUCUUUGUGUUUUUUUUCUUUUGUCUCAGUUGGAUUUUUCAGCUGCUUGUUGCCUACUUACCUUGGACCUUUGGCCUACUUUAUUUAGGUAAUGAAUGAAGCUAGUAGAUUACUAUCUUUUUAUUCGAGGAAAAAAAAAUUGUGUUGGUAGUCAAUUUAGAGGUGCAAUCGUCGAAAAAUGGUGUGAAAGUAUGAAAUAUUUGAUACUUUCACAAAUAUUCUAACUCAAUAUUUCUCUAGUACCUACUACUUAGACGGCAAUUGUGCAUUCAAUGACAAGAGAAAUACUAAAUCUACAAUCCAAAAUGGUUGUAAUCUUUAAAACUUUUAAUCUAAUAAUUUAAGAAUUUAAACAUCUCUUUUUGGCUUUUAGUUAAAAAUAAAAAAUGGAUAAGAUUCGUGUGUUAAUAACGGCCUUUAGAUGCCUAAGUUGUAAGUUUACAAUCCAAAUACGCCUGCCAACCUAGCAGUGGGGCUGGCAAUCCAACUUGCUGUUCGCGAACCAGCUCGUGGUAGCUCGAAAUAAACUCCAGAUCGAUCGCUCGUUUCAAUAAACGAGCUAAAUUUUUCAGCUUGAAAUCUUAACAAGCUGAACACGAGCUACGAUGAUCAACUCGCUCAUAUUCGGCUCGAAAUAGCUUACGUAUAGAUACUAUUCAGGUAAUAGGCAAAUCUAAAUAUAAAGAGAUCUACAUUUUGUAACUUUUAAUUAUUAGAUUGAGAUUCUAUUUUUUUUAAAAAAAAAAAUUCAACUUUUCAUUUAGUACUAAGGCUGACAAUCUAACUUGUCGUUCGUGAGCACGAGCUAUAUUUUUCAGCUCGAUAUUUUAACAAGUCAACCCAUGUUCGAUUCGUUUAAUAAACGAAGGAAUACAAGCCGGCCCCAGCUCGUUCGUGUUCAGCAGGUAGACAGCCCUACCUACACACUGCGGGCCAAAAUAUAGAAAAGAUUUUUCAGCUCGAUAUUUUAACAAGCCAUCCCAUGUUCGAUUCGUUUAAUAAACGAAGGAAUACAAGCCAGUCCCAGCUCGCUCGUGUCCAGCAGGUUGACAGCCCAGUCAUCCCAUGUUCGAUUCAUUUAAUAAACGAAGGAAUACAAGUCGGUCCCAGCUCGCUUGUGUUCAGCAGGUUGACAGCCCAGUCAUCCCAUGUUGGAUUCGUUUAAUAAAAGAAGGAAUACAAGCCAAUCCCAUCUUGCUCGUGUCCAGCAGGUUGACGGCCCAGUCAUCCCAUGUUCGAUUCAUUUAAUAAACGAAAGAAUACAAACCGGUCCCAAUUCGCUCAUGUUUAGCAGGUUGACAGCCCACUCAUCCCAUGUUGGAUUCAUUUAAUAAACGAAGGAAUACAAGCCGGUCCCAGUUCGCUCAUGUUCGGCAGGUUGACAGCCCAGUCAUCCCAUGUUCGAUUCGUUUAAUAAACGAAAUAAUACAAGCCGGUCCCAGCUCGCUCGUGUUCGGCAGGUCGACGGCCGUACCUACACCCUGCGGGCCAAAAUCUAGAAAAGAUUUUUCCAGAGGCCACCAUGUGGUUGAUCCUGGCUUCCGAGCAAGGGUUGGGCGGCUAAUUAAACGUACAGCGGGUGAAAUGGUGCGUGUCUCCAUCUUGCAUGGGGACAAACUAGUCGCAGCUGAAUUGAAGCACCUUACAGUAAUAUAGAUAAUGAUCACAUUUACAUGGACCCAGGCAUACCUGGAGAAGAGAUAAGAAACCGCUCCCUUUCAUUGCAAAAAUUCUAGUAGGUUUAUGUGCAGUUUGUCAACAAUUAGGUUUGGAAUAAGGAAAAUUGGGUCUGCGUCUAUCAUGGUCUCGAUUAGUUAAUUCACAGAUAAUUUUCAAAUUAUUCCUGCGCUCCGGUAACUUGCGAGUUCUGGCGGUAGCGUGAUCUCGACUUCGCGUAAAGAGUAGAAGAAAGUCGAGAUUAUUGGCGCCAGUACCAUGUCGCAAGCAGAAGGCGGCCCACUAAUUUGUACAUCUCUUUUUGUAUUUGCAACGACCCGACCCUCUAGCAAUAAUAAUUUGUUUGGCCCAAACCAUCGGCCCAAAAUUUAUUGUUACUAGCGUGUAGGCCUCAUAUAAACUGAUUGGAAUCAGUAUCCCAUCCGAUCUCAUCCGAUGUGGGACUAUUGAGGGUGUUACAGUAUUCAACAGCUUCGCUCACUAGCGCCAAGCGAAUAGUCCUAAAUGCCGAUUUUAGAAUACAGAUAAUAUUUUUACAACACAUUGACUCCCAUGGACUGAGUCUCCCUCCCUCUCUCUAGCCAUGCUCCCAUGGGCUUCCAAACUGGUCCCCAAAAGAGUUUUACAUCGAUUAUGAAAUUGAAAUGGACUUUACAUAGACCAAUUUCGGUGCAAAUACGCUUGAUUAUGUAAUUGAUUUAGACCUCGAUAAAUUGACUACUCAAUUGCCUGAUUAGUCGACAAGCUUUCGAGAUCAAUCUUUCUCAGCUAGCUCUAUUAGAAAUAUCUGAUAUGCAUUAAUUUUUUCUAACAUGAAAAUAAUUCGCUUUGGCAGAUCCCUACUUCUUUCUUUUUUGAGAGAUAGAUAGCACGCUACCUGCUUCGUUUAUUUCAUUUAGAAAUAAACUUAGCUGAAAAUGUGAAUCAACUAGGAUUCGAACUUAGACCUCGGAUACCAACCACCAAAUCCUUUGCCACUUGCUCUAAGGGACGGUCGGUGGCAGAUCCCUACUUUCACUCCAAAAGAACUAGGUUUUAUACAUGUCUAAAUCAUAACGCGCCUUGUUAUUAAUUUCUGUAAUCGUGCUCCAUCAACUACAUUUCGUUAGGGAAAAUUCUUAAAUUAGUGUUGGUUAGUAUGCAUCAACCAUCAUUUUUUUGAAAUUAAAGUUUGGUUGAUACAGCUAGCACUGUAAAAUAGUACAAAACAACUGUUGAAUGCGUGACUUGCUCUGACACUACAACAGAAUUAGAUUAUAGGGACACAUGUUUGGGACACUUUUGAGUAAGUGUCCCAUUUAUGCUAAAACUUAAAAAAACAUCUACUAAUGCCUAAAUAUAAAGCCCAAUACAAUCAAAAAUAAAAAAUUACUCUACUCAACGCACCACACCCAGUCCAUUUGGCCCGAUUACAAACAGAAAAGAAAAAAAAAAAAAGAAAAAUCAAUUACCAUCUUUUCUUCUCUCUUCACUCAAUCCACUGAAAUUCUAGACGAAGAGCCUUUCCUAUCGUUCUCCUCCGCCACCGCAGCCAACUAGAUAGAGUUUCGGCGGUUGCUAAAUGCUUAAAUAAGUGUUGGUAAAUUAGCAGCACUCUUUUAGGUUAUAGCGACACUCUUUAACUGUCAUUAUAUAUCUAGCGACCCCACAUAUAGCAACACUUUUUAAAAGUGUCGGUAAUUUUAGCUAGCAGCAUUUUUUUGACAUGUACCUACAUUUAAAAGUGUCGCUAUAGACCGUUUUUGUUGUAGUGUGAUACCACUUGUUGGAAGCGUGAUUUUCUCUGAUACCAUUUGUUGGAACUGGUAUUUAUGCUGAUACCGAUUAUAUAACAUAAAAUCUAAAAUAUAACAAAAUAAUAUGAAGAAGAGAUAUUGGAGAAGGAAGAAAAUAACUAAACUAAUAAGCAACUAAUUACAUUCUGCGCAACACCCAUGCAGACAUGUCUACUAUGGCUUAUUCUCUAAUUAACCAAUACCUAACUAUAUAUAGCCAUCAAAUCAUAACAGAUGAUAAAUCUAAUUUUACUUUUAAUAAUUACAUAUCGUAAUUAUAAUCAAAUAACAACAUUGUACCCUCUAUGGUUGUGAGCCUAAGAAAUGUAAUCACUUGAGGAGCGCAUACUCUAGAUACUUACUCACAUAACGUGAUACCACUCGUUGGAAGCGUGAUUUUCUCUGAUACUACUUGUUGGAACUGGUAUUUAAGCUGACACCGAUUAUAUAACAUAAAAUCUAAAAUAUAACAAAAUAAUAUAGAGAAGAGGUAUUGGAGAAGGAAGAAAAUAACUAAACUAAUAAGCAAUUAAUUACAUUCUGGGCAACACCCAUGAAGACAUGUCUACUAUAACUUAUUCUCUAAUUAACCCCUGCCUAAUUAUAUAUAACCAUCAAAUCAUAACAGAUGAUAAAUCCAAUUUUACUUCGGAUAAUUACAUAUCCUAAUCAUAAUCGAAUAACAACAUUGUACCCUAUGUGAUUGUGAGCCUAAGAAAUGUAAUCACUUGAGGAGUGCAUACUCUAGAUAUUUACUCACAUAAUUUUGGAGAAGAUAUUCAUCUUGUUAGUGUUAGGAAAAAAUAUCCUGGUGGUAGGGACAGCAACAUUAUGUGAUCUCUGUUGUUGUGAGACUGAGACUUAUAAUUAGAAGAAGAUUUUUAUCUCGUCAGUGCUAUGAAAAAUAAUCCUUACUGAUGCCAACCUAUGAAAAAGAGGAUGGCAAGAUUAACAAUAUUGUGUGCUCUGUGGCUGUGAACCUAAGAGAUAAAAUCGUUUGUUCUUGCGGUAGAUAUAUACUCAUAUCAUUAGAAAAAGAUUUUAUCGCGUUAGUCCCGCGAAAAAAAUAUCUUUUCUGGUGACAUCCUGUAACGAUCGAUCUGACUCCCCAGUAAUAAUAACUCGUUGUUGGUAUUGCUACGGCGGGACAGACGCAUCAUCUUAUAUAUUAAGAGAAGGGAUCACAAACACAUAAAUACGGAAUGUUAAUCGAAACUAUAAAGCAGUAGCGAAACAAAUUCAAAUAUACGCUUACUUCUAUCCAUCCUCACACGUCCUAAUAAGCUCUCACAGUCCUAUACCUUAAAAGUCUUUAGAGAUUUUAAACUUAUACUCUGAUACCAUUUCUCUAUUACGCUUCGAGUUCGGGGCGGGACACAUCCUACAAAAAAGAGGAUUGCGGGAACAACAACAGUAUAUCCUCUGUGGUCGUGAACCUGAGAUAUGUAAUCACUUGUUCUUGAGGUGUAUAUGCUCUAGAUAUAUACUCGCAUAAUUAGAAGAAGAUUUUCACAUUUUCAGUACUACGAAAAAAUUUCCUUACUAGUGAAAAUGUAUAAAAAGAGGAUAGAGGGGACGACAACACUAUAUCCUUUGUGGUUGUAACCCGAGACAUGUAAUCACUUGUUCUUGAGGUGUGCAUUCUCUAUAUAUAUUCACAUAAUUAGAAGAAGAUUUUUAUCUCCCUAGCGUUAUUGAAAAAUAUCCUUGCUAGUGACAACUUAGAAAAAAAGAGAAUGGCGGGGACAACAGCACCAUGUCCUAUAAGGUUGUAAUUACCUGAUAUGUAAUUAUUUGUUCUUGAGGUGUAAUACUCUAUAGAUAUAUACUCACAUGAUCAGAUGAAGAUUUUCAUCUCCUUAAUGCUAUGUGAAAUAUCCUUACUGGUGACAACCUACAAAAAAGAGGAUAGCGAGAAUAACAGCAGUACCAUACCACUACAGCAGAAUUAGAUUAUAGGGACAUAUUUUUGGAACACUUUUAUAUAAGUGUCACAUUUAUUCUAAAAUUUUUUUAAAAAAAUCUACUAAGACCUAAAUAUAAAGCUCAAUCCAACCAAAAAUAAAAAGUUCCUCCAUUCAGCCAACCACACCCAAUCCAUUCAACCCGAUUACAAAUAAAAAAAAAAAAAAAAGGAAAAAUUGAUCAGCAUCUCUCCUUCUCCUCCUCCACCGCCGUAGCCGACGAGGUAAAAUUCUGGCGGCUGGAGUUCGGCCGCGAGUAUCUAGCAAGAAUCAUAGAGGACUAUGAUCACCAUGUAUCCCUCCGCCAAAAGUCUCUGAAGGAGUGAGUGCCAAAUAUCAAAACGGCCCUACCUACAGCGACCCCACAUAUAGCAACAUUUUAAAAAAGGUCGGUAAUUUAGCCACCAGCACUUUUUUGAUCUGCACCGAUAUUUAAAAAUGUCGCUAUAUACCGUUUUUAUUGUAGUGUUAUAUAUGUAUCCUCCUUAUUUGUGAACCUAAGACAUAUAAAAUCACUUGUUCUUGAGAUGUGCAUAUUCUUAGAUAUACACUUAUAUGUGGAAGCUUUCCCUUUCGACCAACAGUAACAAGAGAAGAAGAAAGGGGUUGGCCUCACUCUCGGCCGCCUGGUGGACGGUCUAGCACGAAAAGAAUAAUGUCAUGUUUUUUUUUUUUUUUUUUUUUUUUUUUUUUUUUUUUUUUUUUUUGAGAUUAUCGCGCAAAUCUGAUGCAGAUCCCACACGGUAUAAGAAGAGUAAUAGAGACGUGGACGGAGAAUUGUAGUUAACUAUAACCUCACGCAUAUAUGUCUCUUUUGCAUUUUACUCUUCUUCCAUCUCCUUUUGCUUUUUUUGUUUUCUUUCUCUUCGCCCUCAUAUUUUCUUUUCCUCUUUUCCCUCCUAUUCUCAUUUUUUAUGUCUCCCUAAUUCUAAAAAGUUCAUUUUGUUCUGGUAAAUGAAGCAGAUAGUUUAUUACCUUUUUCUAUUAAAAAAUAAUAAUAAUGACUUCAACUAUGCUAUUUCGUUUAAAUCCACAAAUUGUAUUCUUUUUUUUUUCCAAUAAAUGGUCGCAAAAUAAUCCACCUUUUUUUUAAAUUUGUACCGGUUGAUUUUUUUACUUCGUACUCUAGCUUACUUAAUGGAUCAAAGAAUUUUGAGAAAACCAACUGUCUCUAGCGCAAAUGGUAAAAGAUUUCGUGGUUGGUAUCGAAAGUUCUAAUUAAGUUUACAAACUAGUUGUCUCACAUUUCUAAUUAAGUGGAUAGCAUGUUAUAUUUCUCUCAAAAAAAAAAAAAAAUUGAGAGAAUGGUAGUAUGAUACCUACUACGUCCAUUAACACUUUUUUUUUUUUGAGAGAGAUAGGUAGCACGCUAUCCGUUUCGUUUAUUUCAUUUAGAAAUAAACGAAGCUGAAAAUGUGAAUCAUGCAACUAGGAUUCGAGCUUGGGUAUCGGAUACCAACCAUCAAGCCCUUUGCCACUUGCUCUAGUGACGGCCGGUUACUACGUUCAUUAACUUAAUGAACUAAAAAUGUGAAGCAACUAAAUUUCGAAUUUAGGGUUUCGAAUACCAAUUAUCAAAUUCUUUGUCACUAGGACUAUUGAUUAUAAAUAUCAAGGAAUUAAUGUUAAUUCUAUUUUAGAAAAUAUUCCUUCAAAAAUUAGUUGUAACAUUUUGUAAUGAUGUAAUAUGCAUGAUUCCUUACUUUGAUGACUUUGUCCACUAAUUAAUACAAUUCUAAUUAAUUAAGUUGUUCAAUUACCUUAAGUAGUGGGAAACUAAUUAAUUAACCUCCUACCACGUCAGUUGGAGUUCGACCUUUCCAUGCCUUAUUUUGAAAGUUAGGUUACAAAAGUUGACCCAAAUUUAAUUACGUACGCGACUUGAUCUUAACAAUAGACCUGGCAAUCUUAACCCAAAUCUGCAGGUACCCACGGAUUACCCACAAAUUUAUGGAUAUGAGUACCAACUUUUCCAAUCCAAAAAAUUACGGGUAAAACGAAUAGGUACUCAUUAAGCAAUGAGCAUUUUGGGUAACCCGCAGGUACCCAUGGGUAUCCGCACAUAUAUCUUUUAGUUAUAAAAUAUAUUUUCUUAAUUAAUAUAUAUUUUUUAUUUACUCAUCCUAAAAAUUCUAAUACUAAUUUCUUAUUACGUGUCUUUUAUAUUAUAAAAUAUUUCUGUUUUAAGACUUUAAAUAUUUUUAUUAUAUGUUAUGGUAUUUUAAAUAAUGAGUUAUAUUACUUUUUUAAAACUUAUAUAUAUGUGUGUUUUGCAUUUAAAAAAUAUAAGAACAAAAAAAAAAUUGAGGGUAACCCGCAUACCCACCCGCUCACCCGUAGGCGGGUAUGGGUAAAGAUAUUAACUAUCUAAAAAUUUGCGGGUAAAUUUUAUCCAUGCCCAAGUAACCUGUGGAUACAAUAACCUAUCCGCGGAUUAUCCAACCCGCCCAUUUAUCAGGUCUAUUUAACAACAACAAUGUUUUAUUACUUAAUUAAUUAAACUAUCUAUAUGGUGGAACAAAAAAAAUGCAUGACUAAUUAAUCCAAUGGAUUAGUAUAAUAAUUGAAUUAUUCGUUGGUCGCCACUUGCGAUCGACCACUGUAAUUAACACGGUAAUUAAUUAAACAUGUUCUUGGAGACUUUGGACCAUAUCUAUGAAAAGGAAGCAUAUAUACAACUUUGAUUAUUAGUAAUAAUAAUAAAAUAAAAGGUUUAAACUUAAGGAUCUUCUUAUUCCUAAUUAAUUUAAUCAUGGAGACAAAGCAAAGUUAGGUUAGGUUACUAUCGGGUGGCCACAAACCAACAAAGUAUGUAAUUGAGUGUUACAACUAGAUGCUUAGAACAAGCAAUUAAUAGGCAAUAUCUUUGCAUCUAACUUUAUUAGAGAUUCGGAUAGGAUAUUAUAUUAGCGAUAAUUAACUUGUUUAAUUAAUGGUAACAAAAGAUGAUGAAAUGUGCUCAAACAUAUUAUAUUAGGGAUAAUAGCUAUAAUUAAAGGUUACAUUUGCUUGGUUUAGACUUUGGUAUAUAUAUAUAUAUAUAUAUAUAAUGCAAUCCCCACUUGGCCAAAUCAUAUGUAGCCACCAUAGGAAUUUUCUUUAAAAUGUGUGACACACUUUAUAAUAA
rnacentral:lncRNA from 1 species